AUGGAUAAAACAUAGAAAGAAUAUCCAGUAUCAAUGGAUAUAGUGAUAUUAAUGUAAACAUAUAUAUAAAUACUUUGCAGUCAAAACCUUAUGGGUUACUAUUAUAUAUAUUUAUUUAUAUGUUUACAUUAAUAUCACUAUAUCCAUUGAUAUUGGGUAUUCUUUCUAUGUUCUAUCCGAU